rnacentral:rRNA from 1 species
AUACGUAGGGGGCGAGCGUUGUCCGGAAUGAUUGGGCGUAAAGGGCGCGUAGGCGGCCCGGUAAGUCUGGAGUGAAAGUCCUGUUUUUAAGAUGGGAAUUGCUUUGGAUACUGUCGGGCUUGAGUGCAGGAGAGGUAGGUGGAAUUCCCAGUGUAGCGGUGAAAUGCGUAGAGAUUGGGAGGAACACCAGUGGCGAAGGCGACUUACUGGACUGUAACUGACGCUGAGGCGCGAAAGUGUGGGGAGCAAACAGGAUUAGAUACCCUGGUAGUCCACACUGUAAACGAUGAAUGCUAGGUGUAAGAGGUAUCGACCCCUUUUGUGCCGGAGUCAACACAAUAAGCAUUCCGCCUGGGGAGUACGGCCGCAAGGUUGAAACUCAAAGGAAUUGACGGGG